UGUGGGCGAAUAUUAGCGACAAUGGGGGAAACCCUGAUCCAGCAAUGCCGCGUGUGUGAAGAAGGCCUUCGGGUUGUAAAGCACUUUCAAUAGGGAGGAAAAGCUAUGCGUUAAUAGCGUAUAGCCGUGACGUUACCUAUAGAAGAAGCACCGGCUAACUCCGUGCCAGCAGCCGCGGUAA
rnacentral:rRNA from 1 species